CGGGCUUGUACACACCGCCCGUCACACCACGAAAGUCGGCAAUACCCGAAGCCGGUGAGCUAACCCCUCGGGGAGGCAGCCGUCGAAGGUAGGGUUGAUGAUUGGGUG
rnacentral:rRNA from 1 species